AGGACAAACCAUAAACCUUUUGUAAUUGCAAUCAGCGUCAGAAAAAAAAAAUUAAUAAUUACAACUUUUAACAACGGAUCUCUUGGUUCUGGCAUCGAUGAAGAACGCAGCGAAAUGCGAUAA
rnacentral:rRNA from 1 species